rnacentral:tRNA from 1 species
GCAUCGUUGGUGCAGGGGUAGCAUAGUUGCCUUCCAAGCAACUGGGAGGGGUUCGAGUCCCCUACGAUGCA